CUAUUGGCUGUCCUGCCUGAGACGGGGUAGUUGGAGGGUCAUUAGCGGCAUAUUCAAAACACAGUGUUGGUCUUGGGGACGAAGCAAGUAUAGCAUUAUGAUAAAGUAUUGUGGCGAAAAGGGUAAACGCGAGUUAACGAUUCGGAUACGUAAACAGAUGAAGAAGGGAAGGAAAAUGAAAGGGAGAGAAGAAAAGACAAUGCAAAAUUGGUUGAGAUAACGAGACAAAGGGAUUGGUGCGGUCGAUGAAGUUCUUACUGCUGUUGGCUUUGGCUGCUGUGGCUGCUGGGAUAAUUUCCUUGGUGGACAUAGGGUUUUCCGUCCCGUUGGGCAUGGGCGGUUCC